rnacentral:rRNA from 1 species
UACGUAGGGUGCGAGCGUUAAUCGGAAUUACUGGGCGUAAAGCGUGCGUAGGCGGUUUUGUAAGCCAGAUGUGAAAGCCCCGGGCUUAACCUGGGAAUGGCAUUUGGGACUGCAAGGCUUGAGUGCGGCAGAGGAGACUGGAAUUCCUGGUGUAGCAGUGAAAUGCGUAGAUAUCAGGAGGAAUACCGAUGGCGAAGGCAGGUCUCUGGGCUGACACUGACGCUCAUGCACGAAAGCGUGGGGAGCAAACAGG